rnacentral:tRNA from 4 species
GACCAGGUGCCCGAGUGGUUAGGGAAAGGUCUGCAAAACCUUUUUACGGGGGUUCGAAUCCCCUCCUGGUCUCAA